CCGUCUCUCUCACGCUCACUGCUGCCACCGCUGUCGAUGCCGACGCUGCUGGAGCUGCUGCUGAAUUAUUUCCUGCCCUCCUCACUUCGGCUUUCAGAGGGAAUUCAUUCCUCUACGCUCAGCCUUUCCUCAGAGCUUUACAUCCUGGAGGAGGCAAGAGGUGAUGGGGAAAUAUCCACCUUCUGCACUCCAGGCAGUCUUCUUCAGUGGUGUGUUAGACUGUUUGGUAGUGCAAAACAGCUGAGAGACAAGAAGGAAUUAAAGGUAGCAGUUGAGCAAAAAGGGAAGAGAAAGACGUGGUCUGUAAUUGUAGAGAUGCUCUCUAUUAGUUAGACAUGUUGCCCCUCGCCGAAUCCUGAUGCCAGAUUUCACUGGAGGCAAUGAAGCAAGAGCAAGAGCGGGCAGGAUAAAGAGGAGAAGAUCAGAAAGGAGAACUCUGGUAGGCAAAUAGUAAGGUUCUUACCUCUUGACCCAUCCCCCUCUGCUGUGUGAGCUCAUCACGAAAGAGUGAGAAGUAUCUGUGUGGGAAAUCUGAGCAACAUCAUUGUGAAGAAAUUUGUUGUCCCAGCUCCUGCCAUCACAUAUGAAAGUACCUUUUUUUACAAUAUUUGACUAUUUCAAACUCGUUUGGCCCAAAACAUGCAUUUUCAAGCACCUUUUUUUAAUCUGUUACCUCUUUUUUGGACAGUUGCUGCUUUAUUUCUUAACAUUUCCUUCUUAGGGUGACCGUUCUUCAGGUGCACAAUUGAUUGGUAGUGUUUAAGGAGUGUUGCUUGGCUCCUUUUUGCAAUACUCGUGCUUUACAAACAAUACAAAUUGCUAUUUUUGCUGUAUGUUCCCAACAGACAGCAACAGAUUUCUUCAAACUGCUCCCAUACAGCUAGGUGUCGGCACACACAAGCUGUGAUGGUGUGUGUAUAUCCAAUGUGUCACCCUGGACAUGUGGGUGGUAAUUUCUAUACAUGCCAAUACUGAUAAUUAAGUGUUUGAGCUUUAAUUUCCUGAUAGUAAUAUUCUGCUGAUAUUGUGCAUCUCAGUUUUUUCUCUCAGUUCAUGAUUAAGUAUGAAACUGUCACCAGAAAAGUCGACCUUUCUGCUGAUGAACUAAAGGAUUGAUCACAUAAUCGUGCCGGCUCUUAGUCUUACAGGGAGAAUUUGUCACACUCUACUAUCAGACCUAUUCAGUCAUACUCUUAAAUCAGCAGCUUUGACAGCAGCAAACUACGAAUCUGUUGAGAGCCGCUGUGAGGAAAAUUAUCAUGUUUCCUGAACUGUAGGAAAACUCAAACUUCUCCAAAACAUAUCAGAACAAAAAAAAAUUCAAUGAUUUGAAUGUAUUUAUAUUUUAGCUGAUAACUGAGCAACAACCUACAGUGGGAAAAAAUGCAUAAGUAUAAAAAACUGCUGUUCCUCAAGUGUCCACUAGGUCCCAUGUUGGGAUGUGUAGAUUUAUGCUGCGUUCCAGUUACCUUGGAAGUCGGAUGUGGGAUCUGGGAAUGAUGUUACACCCGAGUUGAUGGCGUUCCAGUAAAGAAGUCGGAAAACCAAGAUGGACACCUACUGUUAGUUAACUGUUGUUAGCGGUUGUCAACUGCUGUUAGCGGUUGUCAGCUAAACAAUACAAAACACAGUAUUUUACUUUUACAAACACCAUAGCACCGUGUUCACAGUUAGACGUUGGGCAGUACAACAUAUACCACUUAUUUAAUUUCACAAAAACUAAACAGAAGUGCUAAUAAAUAAUACAUUACGAGAACUUUCACUGUUACUCCUUACUGUCGAUGCCCUGUGCAGCCAUCUUGGAUAAUGACAUCGUCAAUUCAGGGUUGAUAAUGAUUGUUUGACUUUCUGAAUCAGAAAACCGUCCUCAAGGGGGCGUUUUAGAUGAAUUUCCGACUCGGGCUCGGAAAUUCCAAUUUCCAAGUACAACUGGAACGUAGCAAAAAACAUGCUUUCAAAUCUUAUCUUAUAUUAGCUCAUAUAUUUAUCUGUACACACCAAUAAAGAGGUGAAUGCUUUUAUAAUUUAGCAUCUUUUAAGCAAAGAGGGAUGACUAAGUUGACACUCAGGUGUAGCUGUUCACCAGAAGACUUCCAUUGCUAUCUUAAGGCUAAGUCAUCAUUUCCAAUGCCGCGCCCACUGUCACUGGGUUUUAAAACUUCAAUUCAGAGACCAAUGACGUCACAGUAGCUCAUCCAUGUUUUACACAGUCUCUGCUGUGAUAGCUUAAUAAAGCACUUUUUGCUAGGUUGUGAACAUUACCUGCAACAGUGCUCACUCUGAGGUCGUUAUGCUCCCAAGUUCAUAAAACAGGUACUUUACAAGCAGGGAGUACGAACACGCCGACUUGUGCACACACCAUGACUUUAUUGUCCUAAUUAGACAUCCAGAGGAAACUCAUGAUCGGGUCCAUAAUUUUUACACACACUGCAAAUUAAUACCUUGAAUCCUCUCAUAAUCACAUGUCACCCAUGUUUCCUACAUGCAGCCCCACCCCCAACCCCCACCCCCACCCCCACUAGGACCUAUGAUUACGCUUUUCUGCACAUGAAGAAGGAUAUGUGCAUUUUUCCCCAAAAGUAACAGGAGCAUCUGUCCGCAAAAUACAUUUAUAAUGACAAAUAAACACUCACAAUGUUUGCUUCUCUCUGUGUUACCUAAAAUACAUAAUUAUAGAGUGUGGCCGUCUUCUGUUAAUUCGCUUUUAGAAAUUGCCAAGCAGAACUGUACAAGACUAGGUAAAUUCGCACCCUAAUGCUACAAUAUAUCUCCCUGCAUGUCAAAACCUCUAAGCAGGAGUUUUUUCAUGAGUAGCCUGGAGCUUUUUGUGUUAUACAGUAGUACUCAGAGAUUUUUCUUUGUGCAUAUAAAAAACCCCUGCACAGUACCUUAGGCUGCAAAUUUAAAUGUUGCAAGCAAGGCUAAGCACCGAACAGUUUAGAUGCAAGGGAAUAGUGGAGAAUGACCUGGAAAUAGAUGGAGCAUGCGAUGCUACUUGUACUUAAUAGUAAAUGGUCUACAAUGACAGCUUGUUACUGUCUGAGUCACAUGCCCGUUCUCCUUCACGAGCCACAGUUGUAGAGCAAGAGCCUUGAAAAUGACUAUGGUUGCUUUAAUGGUAGUAGUAUUGUUCUAACAACAGCAGCACGGUGUUCAUUUAAACCUUAGAGGUAAAACUGUUAUUCCCACCCUGAGCACCAGAGUCAUCCCAGUGCAACAACACAGGGAUGCGGCUCACAAAAGCUCCUUCUGCUCUAAGCUAAAUGAAAAAAUCAAGAGUAUUAGUGAUAAAAAUGAUGAGGAAAAAGCGGUUCAGAAACAGAAAAGCAUCACAGAUGAUCCAAAAACAGUGUUUGUGUGUCAUCAGUGGAUAUAAAGGAGAGGAUUUGAUGUGCGAUGCCUCUUGUGUAAAAUUAGUUCACACAGAUAUAAAUCUAUUGAAGUGCGGCUAGAAUUAGCGCUUUGGUUUCUUUGUCUAAGGUCCCCUUGAGCCCAUUACACUUACUAUUCAAAGUUGUUUUUGCUUGCAAACACUUUCUGUUAAAUACCACGCAAAGACAUAAAGCCGGGGAGAAGAGGGAAUAAGAGGAAUAAGAGGGGAACCUGUGCAGCAGUAUGAUAGUCAAGGGAGGAAAAUUGUAAGGGAAAGGGAAUGCAUAGAAAUAUUGUUGAUUGGGAAACUGUCACCAAAACAGUCACCGCCAUUGUUGAACGAGUAAAGAGGAGUAGAGUUGAGUGAAGUAAAGGGGAUGUGGGGACCCCUACAUCCAUGCUGGUAAGUCUGACAGCUUAUCACCCCCAGACAAGAGCCCCUUGGAUAAAUAUGGUCAAGCAGGAGAGGAGCCCAGCUUCAGCAGUGAUGGGGUGCAGGACAGCGAUAAGGAUGAAGCUCUACUGGGCAAAAUGGGGGAGCGAGGCAAGGGGCCCCGGGCUGAGAAAGCCAGCCAACAGCGACGCUCAUUCCAGCUCUGGCUGGCUAAACCUCUUAAAAAAUUUACACAUAGGCAUUCACCAUACUCAGCAAAUAUAGGUUACAGCAUGGGUGUGUUAGUGUGUCUUAACUGUUACUGUGCAUGUGUGCGAUAAAAAGCAUAUUUGCACGUCUUAUAACUGGGCCCAAAAAUGGAGAGUGAGUGAGUGCAGAGAAAGCAAAAAAAUAAAAGACGGCAAAAAAACAGAGGAGAGAUCGAGAGAAAAUGUCUUCUUGAUGUUUUUCCGAUGCUGGCCUCUUGAAAACCCACCAUGAAAUUUGCUUUUUCACAGGAAGUGACAGAGCGAGCACCAUGAAUUGAUCCCCUGAUGGAGAUCUGGCUCUUUGUGUAGUCGUUUUCUCCUCUGCGCAUCUGCCUGCCCAGAUACUGGAUAAUCUACUCGCUCGCGGCAUUCCUAAUCCAACCAUCCAUCCCCAUUCACUCCGCCCAUGUGUGUCCCAGCACAGGACAGGGGUGUAGUUUGGAAGUCUGUAAUGGAAUAGAUUUGGUUGUUUGUCUCUCUCUAAAUGACUGUUGUGCAGCAGUGAAAUGAUUAUUUCUCCUGCAAUGCUUCUCUCUGGGUAGUGAUUAACACUCUAAUUAUGAUUUAGGAAACGCAGAGCCCAGUGACUUUCAACCUGAAUAUCACUGAUGAAACCUUUCUCACAUUACAAGGUGACUGUCUUUUCCCUGAAACUGAAAGUCGCCAUUUAUGCUCGGAAAAUAUAUACCUGAAAGCAAACCUAUCCUGUUUUUUUUUUUCGCUAGAUGUUAAUAGAUUGAGGUCAACAAGGCAACAUAUUUAUGUGGAGCAUUUCUCUCAAUAUGGCUUCUGGCAGCCAACUGUUCAAGAUCAUAAGCAGAUUAUGGAUUUGUCAGCCAAUUCAAGUAAGUGAACAGAAAAAAGCAGUGCGUGCAGAGAGUUGCAUGCAGAAUAUGAUUGCAAUGUUUGCCUUGUUGAAUUGUCGGUGGGAAAAUUGGUGGUCAUGACAGCCUGCAAGGCAACAUCCAUUAAAACACAACAAACACGCGCGCGGUGGUUUCAAUUUGAACUUGGUUCUCCUUUACAAAAAUACACACAAAAAAACAUCUCCAUUUAAUAAUUGUGUGUAUAAUUUCGGACUAAAUGAGAAGUCGCUCAAUAAUUACUGCGUUUGUAGAAAGCAAAUGUAUGUACUCUCCUCAAACUCGGU